AGUCGAGCGAAUGGAUUAAGAGCUUGCUCUUAUGAAGUUAGCGGCGGACGGGUGAGUAACACGUGGGUAACCUGCCCAUAACAGUGGGAUAACUCCGGGAAACCGGGGCUAAUACCGGAUAACAUUUUGAACUGCGUGGUUCGAAAUUGAAAGGGGGCUUCCGCUGUCUCUUAUGGAUGGACCCGCGUCGCAUUAUCUAGUUGGAGAGGUAGCGGCUCACCAAGGAAACUAUGCAUACCCGACCUGAGAGGGUGAUCGGCCACUCUGGGACUGACACACGGCCCACACUCCUACGGGAGGCAGCAGUGGGGAAUCUUCCGCAGUGGAAAAAAGUCUGACAGAGCAACCCCGCGUGAGUGAUGAAGGCUUUCGGGUCGUAAAACUCUGUUGUUAGGAAAGAACAAGUGCUAGUUGAAUAAGCUGGCACCUUGACGGUACCUAACCAAAAAGCCACUGCUAACUACGUGCCAGCAGCCGCGGUAAUACGUAGGUGGCAAGCGUUAUCCGGAAUUAUUGGGCGUAAAGCGCGCGCAGGUGGUUUCUUAAGUCUGAUGUGAAAGCCCACUGCUCAACCGAGGAGGGUCAUUGGAAACUGGGAGACUUGAGUGCAAGAAGAGAAAGUGAAUUCCAUGUGUAGCUGAGAAAUGCGUAGAUAUGUGGGAGCACACCAGUGGCGGAGGCGUCUUUCUGGUCUGUAACUGACAGUGAGGCGAGAAAGCGUGGGAGCACACAAUAUUAGAUCCUGUGGUAGUCCACGCUGUAAACGAUGAGUGCUAAGUGUUAGAGUGUUUCCCCCUUUUAGUGCUGAAGUUAACGCAUUAAGCACUCCGCGUGGAGAGUACGGCCGCGAGGCUGAAACUCAAAGGAAUUGACGGGGGCCCGCACAAGCGGAGAACAUGUGGUUUAAUUAGAAGCAACGCGAAGAACCUUACCAGGUCUUGACAUUCUCUGAAAACCCUAGAGAUAGGGCUUCUCUUUCGGGAGCAGAGUGACAGGUGGUGCAUGGUUGUCGUCAGCUCGUGUCGUGAGAUGUUGGGUUAAGUCCCGCAACGAGCGCAACCCUUGAUCUUAGUUGCCAUCAUUAAGUUGGGCACUCUAAGGUGACUGCCGGUGACAAACCGGAGGAAGGUGGGGAUGACGUCAAAUCAUCAUGCCCCUUAUGACCUGGGCUACACACGUGCUACAAUGGACGGUACAAAGAGCUGCAAGACCGCGAGGUGGAGCUAAUCUCAUAAAACCGUUCUCAGUUCGGAUUGCUAGGCUGCAACUCGCCUACAUGAAGCUGGAAUCGCUAGUAAUCGCGGAUCAGCAUGCCGCGGUGAAUACGUUCCCGGGCCUUGUACACACCGCCCGUCACACCACGAGAGUUUGUAACACCCGAAGUCGGGGAGGGUAACCUCAUGGAGCCAGCCGCCUAAGGUUGAGCUAAU
rnacentral:rRNA from 1 species